AACCCCGGGCGUGACAGAGCACGAGGGAGGAGAAGGAAAAGGGGUGGGCCGAAGGAGGCGAUGGAGGACGUCGUGUGCGGGUUGGGCCAUGACUCGGGAAAUUGCAGACAGUACACGCAUUCACACGACAGAACCAAUUCAUGCACGAAUUAGAGAUUCGUACGACAAAUUAGAUCCGAUACGUGAAACCGUGAACUGUUAGCGAAACAACGGCAGGAGUUAACGGCCCGUGAGAUUUAACGACUCGCUAAACUAGAAUUAGACGACUUUAACGUUAAACCAAUCUACGUGUACGAAAUAGAAUUUCAUACUGUAGAUCAAUCUCGCGUUAGCUAAUAGAUUGGAAAACCUAAGCAAUUACACGGUAGGUUAAUGAUAGAUUGAUUCGCAUGAAUAAAACGUAUGCAAACCUGAGGUUUGG
rnacentral:lncRNA from 1 species